rnacentral:rRNA from 1 species
UACAGAGGUCCCAAGCGUUGUUCGGAUUCACUGGGCGUAAAGGGUGCGUAGGUGGUUGGGUAAGUUUGAUGCGAAAUCUCCGGGCUUAACCCGGAAACUGCAUUGAAUACUAUCUGGUUAGAGGGUUGGAGGGGGGACUGGAAUACUUGGUGUAGCAGUGAAAUGCGUAGAUAUCAAGUGGAACACCAGUGGCGAAGGCGAGUCCCUGGACAACUCCUGACACUGAGGCACGAAGGCUAGGGGAGCAAACAGG